GCCCAAUGCAUGCACCGAUACGAAAGAGACGACGCGUAAGUCAGCCAUGAUGUGUGUGUAUAUAUAUAUAUAUAUGCGUACCGCACGGUUCGAUCGGCUUUGUGUGCACAAAAUAAGCAGUAUUUCAGCCUGAAUUGGUUGACUAAUUAACCUUACAUACCAUUACAUUAUAAGUAGAUUUUCUCCCGGCCGGUCCACUGGCGGGCCCACGCGGAAUGUGUCUUUGUCAGUGCUAAUUCAGCCGCCAGCUAGGUACUAGCUAGCAAAGUAGCAAGCCGGCCAGAAGCUUCUGUUCUGAGCUGGUGGCUGGUCGUGACAAGUACUGUCGCAAUCCAACGGACAAACAUGUGUUACACGUAAAAUACUCAGCUUGCACUAAAACAGUUACAAAUAUUUAGAAACGGAGAGAGAGAGUACGUAGUUGAGUACUGGUGGAUGAAACUGGAACACGAUGCAAUUUUUUAUUUUUUGCAAAGACUGCUAUGAUUUUUUGUUUUUGAUGAAUCUCAUGCAUGCCACUUGACCGUUUGACUGGAGUAGAAUUAAUUUAUAACGACCCGGUCAAACGGUCGCCCUCGCAUCACCCUUGGCGAGCUAUAGCUAGCUAACCGCCUAGCUGGACUAAAAUUGGUCUCCUCCGAUCUCCGUGCGAGCGAGCUUGGAAGGUCCGGUCGACAGGGACAAUUAAGCAUUUAAGCCGGCACUAAUAUUUACGCUGAUGGACGCCACAUGCAUGACGUACUUCAUCAGUCCUGAAUUUGACUAGUGUCCAGACUUUAGACCAAGGAUCGAAUGAAUCAAACAGGGUAUAUAUGCCAAUCCGUUAUUGCAGGUCAUUUUGCUCACCUGCCAACCUCGUGGUAGAUCUGGAUAUUAAUAAUUGAUUACUUUCUCGUCAGAGAUCGACCAGACCAGCUAGCUGAGAUAGUGCAUACUUAGUGACCCUGAGGAUAUCUUUUGACUCUCCUUAGUUC
rnacentral:lncRNA from 1 species